CUUGCCAUGAAAUAAGAAUUAGUAGCCAAAAGAAAGAUGAUCAAGACUCUACAUCCUGUUCCACAUACAUAAUUGCAAGCUACCAUUAACGAGAAAUAUUUUUUAUGUGUGUGUAUACUCUAUAUACUAUGAACUGAAUGCAAGCACGGAACAAACUCGAAAGAAAAAUGUUCAAUCAAAACAGAGGGCUGCUUGACUGCAAAUUUGAA
rnacentral:lncRNA from 1 species